GCCUCUGCGGUUGCGGUUAGGUCCAGAGGUCCCUAGCGGGAUGGUGCCUCGGUGCCAGGUUGAAGUAUUGUAUUUUGCAAAAAGUGCUGAAAUAACAGGAGUUCGUUCAGAGAUCAUUUCUGUGCCACAAGAAAUAAAAGCAUUGCAGCUGUGGAAGGAGAUAUCCUGGAUUGGCUGCUGCUAGAAAUCAGGUCAUAUUUGCCGUUCGUCAAGAAUAUGUCAAGCUUGGAGAUCAGCUCCUCCUGCUUCAACCAGGAGACAAAAUUGCUGUUAUCCCCCCCAUUAGCAGAGGGUAGUGCUUUUGAGCCAUAUAGAGGAGAUAUGGAUGAAGUUGAAGAGAAAUCUAAAAACAUUAUAAACUUUACUGCCGAGAAACUUUCAGUAGAUGAAGUCUCACAAUUGGUGAUUUCUCCGCUCUGUGGUGCAAUAUCCCGAUUUGUAGGGACUACAAGAAAUAACUUUGAAGGGAAAAAAGUCAUUAGCUUAGAAUACGAAGCAUAUCUACCCAUGGCGGAUAAUGAAGUCAGAAAGAUUUGUAGUGACAUUAGGCAGAAAUGGCCAGUGAAACACAUAGCAGUGCUCCAUAGACUUGGCUUGGUUCCAGUGUCAGAAGCAAGCAUAAUCAUUGCUGUGUCCUCAGCCCACAGAGCUGCAUCCCUUGAAGCUGUGAGCGACGCCAUUGAUACUUUAAAAGCCAAGGUGCCCAUAUGGAAAAA